rnacentral:rRNA from 1 species
AACGAACGCUGGCGGCAGGCUUAACACAUGCAAGUCGAACGCCCCGCCAGGGGAGUGGCAGACGGGUGAGUAACGCGUGGGAACAUACCCUUUUCUACGGAAUAGCUCUGGGAAACUGGAAUUAAUACCGUAUACGCCCUACGGGGGAAAGAUUUAUCGGGGAAGGAUUGGCCCGCGUUGGAUUAGCUAGUUGGUGGGGUAAAGGCCUACCAAGGCGACGAUCCAUAGCUGGUCUGAGAGGAUGAUCAGCCACAUUGGGACUGAGACACGGCCCAAACUCCUACGGGAGGCAGCAGUGGGGAAUAUUGGACAAUGGGCGCAAGCCUGAUCCAGCCAUGCCGCGUGAGUGAUGAAGGCCUUAGGGUUGUAAAGCUCUUUAACCGAUGAAGAUAAUGACGGUAGUCGGAGAAGAAGCCCCGGCUAACUUCGUG